rnacentral:rRNA from 1 species
GGGGGGGGGGGACUACACAUGCAAGUCGAACGGUAGCACAGGGAGCUUGCUCUCGGGUGACGAGUGGCGGACGGGUGAGUAAUGUCUGGGAAACUGCCUGAUGGAGGGGGAUAACUACUGGAAACGGUAGCUAAUACCGCAUAACGUCGCAAGACCAAAGAGGGGGACCUUCGGGCCUCUUGCCAUCAGAUGUGCCCAGAUGGGAUUAGCUAGUAGGUGGGGUAACGGCUCACCUAGGCGACGAUCCCUAGCUGGUCUGAGAGGAUGACCAGCCACACUGGAACUGAGACACGGUCCAGACUCCUACGGGAGGCAGCAGUGGGGAAUAUUGCACAAUGGGCGCAAGCCUGAUGCAGCCAUGCCGCGUGUAUGAAGAAGGCCUUCGGGUUGUAAAGUACUUUCAGCGGGGAGGAAGGCGAUGAGGUUAAUAACCUUGUCGAUUGACGUUACCCGCAGAAGAAGCACCGGCUAACUCCGUGCCAGCAGCCGCGGUAAUACGGAGGGUGCAAGCGUUAAUCGGAAUUACUGGGCGUAAAGCGCACGCAGGCGGUCUGUCAAGUCGGAUGUGAAAUCCCCGGGCUCAACCUGGGAACUGCAUUCGAAACUGGCAGGCUAGAGUCUUGUAGAGGGGGGUAGAAUUCCAGGUGUAGCGGUGAAAUGCGUAGAGAUCUGGAGGAAUACCGGUGGCGAAGGCGGCCCCCUGGACAAAGACUGACGCUCAGGUGCGAAAGCGUGGGGAGCAAACAGGAUUAGAUA